rnacentral:rRNA from 1 species
AUUGAACGUUGGCGGCAUGCCUUACACAUGCAAGUCGAACGGCAGCAUGAUCUAGCUUGCUAGAUUGAUGGCGAGUGGCGAACGGGUGAGUAAUACAUCGGAACGUGCCCUGUAGUGGGGGAUAACUAGUCGAAAGAUUAGCUAAUACCGCAUACGACCUGAGGGUGAAAGUGGGGGACCGCAAGGCCUCAUGCUAUAGGAGCGGCCGAUGUCUGAUUAGCUAGUUGGUGAGGUAAAGGCUCACCAAGGCGACGAUCAGUAGCUGGUCUGAGAGGACGAUCAGCCACACUGGGACUGAGACACGGCCCAGACUCCUACGGGAGGCAGCAGUGGGGAAUUUUGGACAAUGGGGGCAACCCUGAUCCAGCAAUGCCGCGUGUGUGAAGAAGGCCCUCGGGUUGUAAAGCACUUUUGUCCGGAAAGAAAUCGCACUUACUAAUAUUAGGUGUGGAUGACGGUACCGGAAGAGUAAGGACCGGCUAACUACGUGCCAGCCGCCGCAGUAAUAC